rnacentral:snRNA from 1 species
CGCUCCGGAGUAUAAGAACGAGGUGCUUGUCUGUUGCCUUUUACCACAUACAACCCUUUUUAUAUUCCAUUCAAGGAGAUUCAACCAAUUUAUUCUACCCGUGGUA